GUGUUCCCUUUGGCAGCACAUAACUAAAAUUGGAAUGAUGCAGAGAAGAUUAGCAUGGCUCCUGUAAGAAAAAAAAAUAGAAAAGAAUUUGAAAAUAUUG
ensembl:snRNA U6 U6 spliceosomal RNA